UCAUAGCAGUAAAACCCUUGGGGUUGGAGUGGAUGAGGAGCUGGAUAUGAGCUGACAGUGUGUCCUGAUUGCCAAGAAGGCUAACAGCAUUUUGGGCUGUAUAAGUAGGAGCAUUGCCAGCAGAUUGAG